CCAGCAGACGGUGUGUGAACGCGUCUCUACGCUGUCCGGCUGAGGUGCACUCUGUCCUGGUCAUCACCUUUUGUUUGACUUUAUAAUUUUUACUGGAACAGUCGUAAUGGCUGUAUUUUCUCACAGCCUUUUCCAGCAGUUCCUCGCCUAGUCCUGUCAGGAUAACAAAUUUUACUGGACGAUAGAUGGUCUCAGAAAUUAUUGCGAUAAAUGAUAAUAUUGUUGGAGAGCAGUAAAAACGAAUAUAAUGACAUAACAACCCCUGUUUAUGGAAGUUUACAUUGAUAUUUACAUAGUGUAAAAAUAAAAAAACUGUCGGCAAUCCCAAGGCAUCGCCAGCUGUAUGAAGGUGUCAGAAAACUGAAGACACUCCUCUGGCUAAAUGCCUGUUCACAGGCUGCUACAGAUGUAACACUGAGUCUGGACCCGCCUGUGGCCCCCCCCUCUGACGUCGAUACAAAAGGCGGAACCAAUGCGAUUGGCUCAUCAUUGUAGUCGGAUCCUUUAGUGCGUUGCACCACUGUAAACAACGGCCAGUUCAUGGUGAAAAAGAAGAGCGUGAAGUUACCAUCCACGAUUAUCACAACAAACAAUAUUGUGUUGUUACAAGACAUCAGCAAAUUUAAAGAUGAUCCACUGAUGCAGCCAGACCUAAAGUUGUUUCUGCGCACCUUGAUGGGGGACAGGAGGAGGAGCUUCAAGGCAGCCUGGUACCCCAUCCACCCCUGGCUUGAAUAUUCAAAACAGGUGGACUCUGCAUAUUGUUACGCUUGCAGACAUUUUAGCCCUCCCAAUAAGAGCCACAUAAAGAAGUGUUUUUUUUAGCUCUACAGACUCUGUAAAAUAGCAGUUGCAAUCCCAGUGAGUACUGCUUCCUGUGAACGGAGUUUUUCUAUGUUAAAUCUUGUGAAAACAUACGUCCGAUCCACCAUGAACGAUGACAGAUUAAGCAAUUUGGGUGUACUGACCAUCGAGUCUAGGAGGGCAAAGACGCACUGAGCCUUGAUUCAUUUGUUCAUCGUUUUGCCAGAAAUCACCCUCUGGUUCAUCAAAUCAGAAAUCAGUUUUUUUCAUUCGUCUGCUCAUAUUUUCUCCAGUACAGUAGAGUGUGUAAAGUUUUACAUUUGUGUCUCAUGUUAUAUUUUUAUUUUAUUCAAAAUAUAUGAUAUUUUGAACCAUUUGUUUGGUUACAAUAGUUAAUCACUGUUUAUUAAAAAUAAAGAUGAAUCAAAUACAA